rnacentral:lncRNA from 1 species
CCCUGGGUUCAGUCCCCAGUGCCUCAACUAGUGAAAAGUGAUUAGGUCUUGGGAACAACACACUGAGAAUGGAUUAAUAUAGGUCUCCUGUAACUAGAUUGUUGUCUUUGUUUUGUUUUAUUUUAUUUUUGAGACAGGGUCUCACUAUGUAGUUGAGACUGACCUAGAACUCACUAUGUAGCCCAGGCUGGUCUAGAUUGUUUUCUGACAGAAUGAGUUAUCAGUCUCUCUUCUGAGUGUACCACUUGGCACUUUUGCUUUCCUCCUCUAUUUUUUAGUUCUAGAGAAUGAACCCAGGCCCUCCAUAUUGAGAUACAUCCCCAGCACUUUUCAUUUAUUUAAUUUUUAAAUUUUCAUUUGAAACAAAAAGUUAAGUCAUUCAGUUGCCCGGGUUAGGCUCAGACUUUCAAUCCUUCUGCCUCAUCCUCCCAGAGUGCUUGGAUGACAGGCAUGUGCCACCAUGUCCAGCUUACUCCACCAUUAGUGUGCCAUCUACUGUGAGGGCCUCAUCUGAGUAGAAAAGACACUGGUGCCAUGCUCUUGACCCUCAAACUGUCACCUCAGUAAACCUCUUUUCUUUAUCAAUAUCCAGCCUUGUGUAUUUUUAUUAGAGCAACAAAAAGUGGACUAAAAGCCAUCCAUAGCACCAUGAGUACAGACCUCUACCCUGCGCACCUUCUGUGUCCUCCUCUGCACCUUGGACACCUCCUUGGCAUCAUGUCUCAGCUUUGGAAACUGACUUCUAGUGCUCUUCCCUGACCAAGUUGGACCAGCUCUUCUGGCUGGAGUCUCAGUCUUCUGGUUCACAUUGGACUUGGCUGUUCUCUCUUGGACUCUUCAACUUUGCCUCAGAUCCAAGCUGUCUCUGCCUUGGGCCCUGGCUGCCAGGCCAACCCCACUGGCCUCCUCCCUUGGGGCAUGCUGAUGGCAGGAUGGCAUGCUUGGCAGUCAUCAGCAGAGAUAAUGAGUACUUGGGAGGCUAUAAGUUCAAGGCCAGCGUAUGCCCACAGGAGCAGGAGGAAGAGGAGAAGAGGACGAAGAAGGAGGAAGACGACAAAGAAGAGGAGAAGGAGGAAGAGAAGAAGAAAGGAAGGAAGCAGAAAGCAGCAGCAGCAGAAGAAGAAAUAAUAAUUCACCACCACCAAACUGGCACUCCAAAUAUUAUCAAGGAUAUACUAGAAAGAGACAAUGAAGAUCACAAUGCCAAAACGUCUACAGUAAGUCCUUGACUUACAAGUGAGUUCUGUUCUAGGAGAAUGUUUGUAAAUCAGACUUGUUUGUAAGUCUGACUAAAUCAAUCUAUAUACCUUUGACACAAAUAUAAAAUGUAAAGCAUAAAAAAACACAAAC